GAGGGUAGGAGGCCACCUGGAAGACAUCCUUCUGGAGAUGCUGGAUGUGGUCGCUGUUGUCACAGAUGAUGCGGGCCAGGGACCCUUGCUUGAUUUGUGUGAGCUGGGCUGAAGUGAACACAUCUGGGUUUUCAUACCAAAACCUAAUAGAGAGAAGCAAAAAAGGCGCUUGAGAGAUUCGAGUUGAGCUAUGGCUCCUCGCUGGAUCUGCGAAAUUCGGUUGUUGUUCAAGAAUCUGGAGUGGAGACAACAAAGAGAACGUGCUUGAGUGACCAUUGAAGACUUGGGAAUUAAAGGCGGAAGAAUUGGAAAACGUCUGGUCGAGAUAAAACUGGAGGCAAGGCACGAGCGAAGGUGAAAUCCCGCUCUUCCAGAGCCGGGUUGCAGUUUCCUGUGGGUCGAGUUCAUCGGCUUCUACGUAAAGGCAAUUACGCCGAGCGGAUUGGAGGAGGAGCCCCGGUAUAUUUGGCUGCGGUGCUAGAGUAAUUGAGCGCUGAGAUUUUAGAGCUCGCUGGUAAUGGUAAUUUGUACUAAUAUUGUUUCCUGAUUGCUUAUUUGUACCCUAUGACUAUCAUUUGUGUUGUAAAUGUUGUACCUUGAUGAAGGUAUCUUUCCUUCUAUGUGCACUGAGAGCUAAAUAUGCACCACGACAAAUUCCUUGUGUGUCCAAUCACACUUGGCCAAUAAAAAAUUCUGUUCUAUUCUAUCCUAUCUGGAGUGGUGUACAAUAUACA